rnacentral:rRNA from 1 species
UCGCUCCUACCGAUUGAGUGGUCCGGUGAAUACUUUGGACUGUAGUAGCGUCUGGUUCCUGGAUGUUGCAGCAGGAAAUUGAGUAAACCUUAUCACUUAGAGGAAGGAG